GACGUAGGGCGCGAGCGUUGUCCGGAUUUAUUGGGCGUAAAGAGCUCGUAGGCGGUUCGUCGCGUCGGCUGUGAAAACCCGGAGCUCAACUCCGGGCCUGCAGUCGAUACGGGCGGACUCGAGUUCGGCAGGGGAGACUGGAAUUCCUGGUGUAGCGGUGAAAUGCGCAGAUAUCAGGAGGAACACCGGUGGCGAAGGCGGGGUCUCCUGGGGCCGAUACUGACGCUGAGGAGCGAAAGCGUGGGGAGCGAACAGG
rnacentral:rRNA from 1 species